GCGUGGGUGAUGAAGGCCUUCGGGUUGUAAAGCCCUUUUGGCGGGGACGAUGAUGACGGUACCCGCAGAAUAAGCCCCGGCUAACUUCGUGCCAGCAGCCGCGGUAAUACGAAGGGGGCUAGCGUUGUUCGGAAUUACUGGGCGUAAAGGGCGCGUAGGCGGUCUUUGAAGUCGGGCGUGAAAGCCCUGGGCUCAACCCAGGAAUAGCGCUCGAUACUCUUGGACUUGAGUGCGGGAGAGGGUGGUGGAAUUCCCAGUGUAGAGGUGAAAUUCGU
rnacentral:rRNA from 1 species